CAGUCGCCGCGGUAAUACCGAGGGUGCGAGCGUUAAUCGGAUUUACUGGGCGUAAAGCGUGCGUAGGCGGCUAAUUGAGUCGGAUGUGAAAUCCCCGAGCUUAACUUGGGAAUUGCAUUCGAUACUGGUUAGCUAGAGUGUGGGAGAGGAUGGUAGAAUUCCAGGUGUAGCGGUGAAAUGCGUAGAGAUCUGGAGGAAUACCGAUGGCGAAGGCAGCCAUCUGGCCUAACACUGACGCUGAGGUACGAAAGCAUGGGGAGCAAACAGGAUUAGAUACCCCAGUAGUCCCUGUCUCUUAUAA
rnacentral:rRNA from 1 species